rfam:Sphingobacterium sp. JB170 genome assembly, contig: Scaffold9
GGGGUCGACCGGAAUUGACAGGAUGGCGAUGGUUAUGUAAGCAUGCAGUGCGUUGUUAGUAUUGCACUUUAAUAUAAACUUUCAGAUUUACAACUGGCGAAGAAAACUACGCCUUAGCUGCUUAAGUUAGACUUAACAUAGCUAUUUGUCCCGCUAGAUCCUGUUCUUUGGUUUAGCAUCAGGGGCAUCGAAUAAUAGAACUGGCCGAUGUGAGUUUACUAAGCAUUGGUAAGACCCAGUAAAUACGGAGAAAGGUAUAGGUAAGUUUUACACCUUCCCUCUCCCGACAAUCAAAGUAAAACUAAGCAUGUAGAAAGCAUAAAUCAUACUAUGUUUGGACGAGGGUUCGAAUCCCUCCGACUCCACAA